GGGUGCGAUCAUACCAGCACUGAUGCACCGGAUCCCAUCGGGCGAUUGUAGUACUAAGAUGGGUGACCUCUUGGGAAGUCCUCGUGUUGCACCCC
rfam:Ricinus communis cultivar Hale ctg_1100012287603, whole genome shotgun sequence.